GAAGUGGUAGGAAAUUUUUACAUAGGAGAGUAUGGUGAUCAUAUUUGCAUUUUAGAAAAUAAUGGAUAGCAGUUUGUUAGGGGAACAAAGGACAGAGACAGGGAGACUAUUUAAAACAUUAAUAAAAAAUACCAGUGACAGAUGAUGAGGCACCUACCUGAUGGGAAUGGAGAAGAGGAGAUGGAUUCAGAAACUACUUAGGAGGUAGCUGAAUAUGUAGCCUGCAAAUCAGGAGAAAAUUCUAGGUGAAGAUGGUAAUUGCGAAUCAUCAGAGUCUAUAUGAGGCAGGCAGUCCAAGGCUGAUGCCCAAAGAAGCCAUCAAGACCCGUGCUACUUCCAGCUCCUUCUGUCCUCAUAAUCAUAGAUGAUUGCUCCACAUCCAGCACCUAACACCAGUACUCAGUUAAAUUUUUUGCUGAAUAAAUCAAUGAAUGGAGAGGUAAAGAGGAACCAGAAGUUGGGGUUACAGAAGUCACUGAUGGAAGAGUUUCAAGAUAGUAGAAGUGGUCAGCCCUGUUAAGUGACAAGCCAAGGACUGAAGAAAGACUGGCAG
rnacentral:lncRNA from 1 species